rnacentral:rRNA from 1 species
UACGGGAGGCAGCAGUGGGGAAUAUUGCACAAUGGGCGCAAGCCUGAUGCAGCCAUGCCGCGUGUAUGAAGAAGGCCUUCGGGUUGUAAAGUACUUUCAGUCGUGAGGAAGGUGUUAAGGUUAAUAACCUUAGCAAUUGACGUUAGCGACAGAAGAAGCACCGGCUAACUCCGUGCCAGCAGCCGCGGUAAUACGGAGGGUGCGAGCGUUAAUCGGAAUUACUGGGCGUAAAGGGCACGCAGGCGGUUAAUUAAGUUGGAUGUGAAAUCCCCGGGCUUAACCUGGGAAUGGCAUUCAAGACUGGUUAGCUAGAGUCUUGUAGAGGGGGUAGAAUUCCAUGUGUAGCGGUGAAAUGCGUAGAGAUGUGGAGGAAUACCGGUGGCGAAGGCGGCCCCUGGCAAAAGACUGACGCUCAUGUGCGAAAGCGUGGGGAGCAAACAGGGAUUAGAUACC